GAUAAACCAGGGGCAGUAUUCACACAGAUUCUAAGAAUUUUCUGAGAAAUUGAGUUUUUGAGUAAAAUAUUUUCUUAAAAAUUCUUAGCAAUUAAAAAGUAUCAAUUCACAAACAGUCAAAAGCAUGAUUCUUAGCAGAGUAUCAGUAUAAUAUCUAAGAUUUUUCUUGGUCUAACCCGUUGCAUUUGGCGAUUAUAAAACUUGGACAAAGAAUUUUCUUAACCCUUCUUGAGUGAUGUUUUGGAGAGUCCCUCAUCUAUAAAAGUUAAGAAAAACGACUCUUCAUUGUUGAAAACGCAAAAGUCAAAGGUUUUGACAGACAACCUAUUUUUGAUCGACAAAAACAUUGCCGGUAACCAUCGACCAUGUCUGACAAGAAAAAAUGAAAACCUAACUGGACUGAGGACCGAACAAUGCUUCUGACAAAGCUCGUUGAAGAAAAUAAAUGGUUUGUUGGGAAAAUUUGAUGCAGGCGGGACAGUGCAAAAGAAAAAGGAAAAGUGGGCGGAGUUGAUCAAUGCAGCAUUCCAGGUAGUGGUCCAUGACCAUGCCCUACUUUGAGUGCCACAUCUAAAUACCACCAGCUAUGGAUACAUCCCUCCUACACGUGGUCAGCCUUUCUGACACAGUUAAUGCAAGGAAUGUUUGUCUCGAGGAUUUUGGCUCCUGGACAGUGCUCCAUCCUGCUGGUCUCUUCAUGGAUCCCAGUGCUGAGGAGGCGGUAUCUGGC